AUUGAACGCUGGCGGCAGGCCUAACACAUGCAAGUCGAGCGAGCGGCGGACGGGUGAGUAAUGUAUGGGGAUCUGCCCGAUAGAGGGGGAUAACUACUGGAAACGGUGGCUAAUACCGCAUACUAUCGGAUGAACCCAUAUGGGCGUAGCUAGUAGGGGGGGUAAAGGCUCACCUAGGCGACGAUCUCUAGCUGGUCUGAGAGGAUGAUUAGCAACACUGGUACUGAGACACGGCCCAGAAUCCGACGGGAGGCAGCAGUGGGGAAUAUUGCACAAUGGGCGAAAGCCUGAUGCAGCCAUGCCGAGUGUAUGAAGAAUGCCUUAGGGUUGUAAAGUACUUUCAGCGGGGAGGCGUUACCCGCAGAAGAAGCACCGGCUAACUCCGUGCCAGCAGCCGCGGUAAUUC
rnacentral:rRNA from 1 species